GACGAACGCUGGCGGCGUGCCUAAUACAUGCAAGUAGAACGCUGAAGAGAGGAGCUUGCUCUUCUUGGAUGAGUUGCGAACGGGUGAGUAACGCGUAGGUAACCUGCCUUGUAGCGGGGGAUAACUAUUGGAAACGAUAGCUAAUACCGCAUAACAAUGGAUGACACAUGUCAUUUAUUUGAAAGGGGCAAUUGCUCCACUACAAGAUGGACCUGCGUUGUAUUAGCUAGUAGGUGAGGUAAUGGCUCACCUAGGCGACGAUACAUAGCCGACCUGAGAGGGUGAUCGGCCACACUGGGACUGAGACACGGCCCAGACUCCUACGGGAGGCAGCAGUAGGGAAUCUUCGGCAAUGGGGGCAACCCUGACCGAGCAACGCCGCGUGAGUGAAGAAGGUUUUCGGAUCGUAAAGCUCUGUUGUAAGUCAAGAACGGGUGUGAGAGUGGAAAGUUCACACUGUGACGGUAGCUUACCAGAAAGGGACGGCUAACUACGUGCCAGCAGCCGCGGUAAUACGUAGGUCCCGAGCGUUGUCCGGAUUUAUUGGGCGUAAAGCGAGCGCAGGCGGUUUGAUAAGUCUGAAGUUAAAGGCUGUGGCUCAACCAUAGUUCGCUUUGGAAACUGUCAAACUUGAGUGCAGAAGGGGAGAGUGGAAUUCCAUGUGUAGCGGUGAAAUGCGUAGAUAUAUGGAGGAACACCGGUGGCGAAAGCGGCUCUCUGGUCUGUAACUGACGCUGAGGCUCGAAAGCGUGGGGAGCGAACAGGAUUAGAUACCCUGGUAGUCCACGCCGUAAACGAUGAGUGCUAGGUGUUGGAUCCUUUCCGGGAUUCAGUGCCGCAGCUAACGCAUUAAGCACUCCGCCUGGGGAGUACGACCGCAAGGUUGAAACUCAAAGGAAUUGACGGGGGCCCGCACAAGCGGUGGAGCAUGUGGUUUAAUUCGAAGCAACGCGAAGAACCUUACCAGGUCUUGACAUCCCGAUGCUAUUUCUAGAGAUAGAAAGUUACUUCGGUACAUCGGUGACAGGUGGUGCAUGGUUGUCGUCAGCUCGUGUCGUGAGAUGUUGGGUUAAGUCCCGCAACGAGCGCAACCCCUAUUGUUAGUUGCCAUCAUUCAGUUGGGCACUCUAGCGAGACUGCCGGUAAUAAACCGGAGGAAGGUGGGGAUGAACGAUCGACUGACUGCUACUACGACUCAGCUGACUACACGUGCUACAAUGGUUGGUACAACGAGUUGCGAGUCGGUGACGGCGAGCUAAUCUCUUAAAGCCAAUCUCAGUUCGGAUUGUAGGCUGCAACUCGCCUACAUGAAGUCGGAAUCGCUAGUAAUCGCGGAUCAGCACGCCGCGGUGAAUACGUUCCCGGGCCUUGUACACACCGCCCGUCACACC
rnacentral:rRNA from 1 species